AGUGAACGCUGGCGGUAGGCCUAACACAUGCAAGUCGAACGGCAGCACAGUAAGAGCUUGCUCUUACGGGUGGCGAGUGGCGGACGGGUGAGGAAUACAUCAGAAUCUACUUUUUCGUGGGGGAUAACGUAGGGAAACUUACGCUAAUACCGCAUACGACCUACGGGUUAAAUCAGUGGAUCUUCGGACCUUGCGCGAUUGAAUGAGCCGAUGUCGGAUUAGCUAGUUGGCGGGGUAAAGGCCCACCAAGGCGACGAUCCGUAGCUGGUCUGAGGGGAUGAUCAGCCACACUGGAACUGAGACACGGUCCAGACUCCUACGGGAGGCAGCAGUGGGGAAUAUUGGACAAUGGGCGAAAGCCUGAUCCAGCCAUACCGCGUGGGUGAAGAAGGCCUUCGGGUUGUAAAGCCCUUUUGUUGGGAAAGAAAAGAAGCAGGUUAAUACCCCGCUGUUCUGACGGUACCCAAAGAAUAAGCACCGGCUAACUUCGUG
rnacentral:rRNA from 1 species